rnacentral:misc_RNA from 1 species
GUAAUUGCGCUGGAGGUAGACUUUCCAUUGUUCAGUAAUGCUGCUAUUGAAAGAUCUCUGAGUCAUGAAGCUAGGGAGGCAUUUCUCUCGGCUUUGGUUUCUGAUGGUCGUGCAGAAUGGAUGGAUAAAGGUCAUAGAAAAUGCCUAGUUCUAUGGCAUCGUAUUCAAGACUGGGCAGACUUGAUUGUAAACUUUGUGAAGGAGAAUGGGCUGGAAGACAGUGUUAUGACAGUUGAAGAAAUACGUUCUGGGGUGGAGUCCCGUGGAACAGAGCUUCAUGGAAUAGACCGUACAGUUCUUAUGCGAGCUUUGAAGGUGCUGGAACAUAAAGGAAAGCUUGCAAUAUUUAAGGGAACAUCAGCUGAUGAUGAAGGUGUCAAAUUUUCUGUGUAAACCACCUUGGUGGACUAUAUUUUUUUUGUGUACGAUGAUGGAGAAAGUUCGUAUCUACGAGCACGUAUGAAUUGCUUUAUGGAGUGAAACUGGAGAUAAAAUGGUUUCAUGUUAUGAUACAGAUACCUUACUGGACUAUUUUAAUUCCAGGUAGAAUGAACAUU